UGAAGGUGAGCAAAUCCCAAAAUAAGUCCCAGUUCGGAUUGUAGUCUGCAACCCGACUACAUGAAGCUGGAAUCGCUAGUAAUCGCAGGUCAGCAUACUGCGGUGAAUACGUUCCCGGGUCUUGUACACACCGCCCGUCACACCAUGGGAGCCGGAAAUGCCCGAAGCCAGUGACCCAACCUUAGGGAGGGAGCUGUCGAAGGUGGAGCCGGUAACUGGGGUGAAGUCGUAACAAGGUAGC
rnacentral:rRNA from 1 species